rnacentral:rRNA from 2 species
CAAUAAGCGGAGGAAAAGAAACCAACAGGGAUUGCCCUAGUAACGGCGAGUGAAGCGGCAACAGCUCAAAUUUGAAAUCUGGCUUCGGCCCGAGUUGUAAUUUGCAGAGGAUGCUUUUGGUGCGGUGCCUUCCGAGUUCCCUGGAACGGGACGCCACAGAGGGUGAGAGCCCCGUAUGGUCGGACACCAAUCCUGUGUAAAGCUCCUUCGACGAGUCGAGUAGUUUGGGAAUGCUGCUCUAAAUGGGAGGUAAAUCUCUUCUAAAGCUAAAUACCGGCCAGAGACCGAUAGCGCACAAGUAGAGUGAUCGAAAGAUGAAAAGCACCUUGAAAAGGGGGUUAAACAGUACGUGAAAUUGUUGAAAGGGAAGCACUUGUGACCAGACUUGGGCCGGGCGGCUCAUCAGGGGUUCUCCCCUGUGCACUCCGCCCGGUACAGGCCAGCAUCGGUUCUUGCCGGGGGAUAAGAACGGAAGGAACGUGGCCCCCCUUCGGGGGGGUGUUAUAGCCUGCCGUACGAUACCCUGGCGGGGACCGAGG